AAAUGACAGAAAAAGCAUCCUCUCGAGUGUACUGUGGCGCCAAACCUCUAAUCCGAACGUAAGGCUUGAUACUUGGGGUCUAAACUGGAGGUGGGAUUCCCAAACUCUACUUCUGGCGUUACGUGUGAAGGGGAUGAAUACUUUAUAUUUUACAUGGAUUUAAACAUACGUAGAAGUCUAUUCUUUAACAAAGCAAAGAUGUCGGCUAAAUUCUAUUUGCGUGAGUGAGAAAUGGCAUUGAAAAGAAUGAUGUGAAUUAUGCCUAUUUGGCUGCGCUUCUAAUAUUCUCUCUCAUUUUGUGAUCGAUGGUUGUCACCAAGGUCUCUGUGGCUGGGGAUUUACCCAUUCUGCUUACUCUUUUCAAAUUCUCUCUUGAACCCACCUCGCCACUAUUGCCCUCACAAAGUCACUUCUAGAGCAAAACAUUUUGGGAAUGGAAGGACACAGAACCAUUCUUAAGAUUCGAAGCAUUCCAAAGAUUCUUCAGUAAGUGGAAGUUUGCGCAGGUCGCAGCGGAGCUCCAGGACUCUGAACACAUAAACCUGGAAUACUCCACAGAUGACUUCCAGGGCAGACAUUCCUGCAAUCAGGAGAACCAGCCUGACUGCGGAGGUAGAACUAAGUUCACAGAGGAAUGGUAGAAAUCAGAAAGGAAGCCUUGAAGAGAGAAGAUUGGAAUUAUGCCCAUGGAGGCCAGAAGAGGGCACUGAAUCCGCGGAGAUGGACUUAUAAACUGCAGAACGUGGGUCCUGGUACAGAAUUUGGGUACUUUACAAAAACAAUAUGCACUCUAAACCACGAAGCCAGCGUUCCAGCCCCCAACUCUUCAGACUCCCACCCAGUUCUCUCUUCUUCACAUUUAUAAAAAAUAUUUAAUAUUUACUGACAAAUUAGCAGACUGUGUCCUUCUCUGCUUUCCAUUUUUACCUCUUUUCUCUCUAGUUCCUUUCCCUAUCGUUUCUGUAUUAUUUUCCCUUUCAGAGAUUUCCCCAAGGAACACAGGCUGGCCUGGUUUUCAGGGUCUCUGGUCUCAGCCUGCUGCUAAUGGCUGGGACGGCUUUAGGUUAUCUGCUUGCAAUUCUGUACUUUUAAACAAGCUUCCCUCCUCUGCACCCUCAUGUCACUACUGUCCCCUUGUAGUUACUUUUUCCUUGCCUACUGUUUGUCAUCAACACGGGAAGAACUGAGUCAGUCCUUGGACUCCAUCUCCAGUGUGGUUUCUCCUGCCCAGGACAUUCAGCCAACUUCAAAUUGACUUACUUCAACGUUCGGUGCGCGUAUACUUGACAUCUCUGUGUCUACACUGCUAGGACAUCAUCAUUGGUCCCCUUUCAGAUUCUUCUUUGCACCCGCCUCAGCUCAAUGCCUCCUACUUCAGGACCACCUUUAUGUUUCUUUUCCUUUCUACUCGUAACUAAUGUUGUUGAUACACUUGUUCAAAACAGAGUCAUACUGUUCCUCUAUUUUCUAAAGUGAUUGGUAUUUGAGGCAUGGUACUUUGUGGGUUUAAAUGCACUUUACAAUGAGCCUAGCUGUGGAUAGUGACUAUUACAGACACUAUUUCCCUGUUAACCUGGUGGGCCAAACAUUAUGCAGCAGAAUUAACCAAAACUUCAUCCCUACUACAACCUGAAAAUUGCAAUCAGUUCCAUUUCAAAGAGCAAUAUGAUUUAAAAAACAACAACAACAAUAACCGGUGAUUUAACCUCAAAUAAAGAAGCUUUAUUGGAAAA